rnacentral:misc_RNA from 1 species
UGGCAUUUGACAUAAGCAAUAUUUGUAGAUGAAAUUUAGAAUUGAUAUUUUGAAUAUAUGGUUGCUUUCUGGUAAUAGGUAAGAUUUGACAUCCUGAUCGUAUUGCUACCUAGCAUAGCUGAAGUGGAAGGUGGAUGUUUGGGUUGCAAUGUCAAGUAGGUAGAGUUGUGCUGCUUUCCUCUUGUAGUCUGUUUGUUUUAUUAUGAGGCAGUAAGUUGUAGUUGAAUCUUGCAGCACUUCACUGGCAAUAAGUUCAACAAAGUGUAUUGGAUCUUUUAAUAGUGCAUUUGGCGAUUGUGGUUAUUAAUUGGGUCAACUGAGUUGUUGAAGUUCUUCUUUGUUUUUUNNNNNUUAAGUGGCUGAAAUUCUUUGAUCUAUAUAAGUUCUUCCUCCUUUUUUUUUUUUUCCCCCUCCCUUGAUAUAGUCUUCCAUCACUUCCCGUCUGAUUUAUACAGGUCACAGCCAAGGCAGUCUAUUCGGC